rnacentral:lncRNA from 1 species
GUGAAAUUCAAGAAUGACUAUUUCUCAAAGUGAAGUCACGUUUUUACUGCCUUUUUACAUGGAUCUCAAAUCUCUGCAAGACUGAAAACUUUGAGAAUAAAAAUUGAAGGUGCCGGGCAGCCUACAACAUUGUGACAUGGCUUUCAAGCUUCCGGAUCACUCACCAUUUCUUUACUGAGAGUGUCCCCUGGCAACUGCUUAACAAAAUCCCAAGCUCAGGGGCUUCUCAGCAUUUACCUAAUUUCUGAAAGGCUCUUCUGAAAGGUGGUAUCUGUUCUUUC